GUGAGUAGUUCAGAGUUUGAUCCUGGCUCAGGAUGAACGCUAGCUACAGGCUUAACACAUGCAAGUCGAGGGGCAGCACUAGGUAGCAAUACUGAGGUGGCGACCGGCGCACGGGUGCGUAACGCGUAUCCAACCUUCCCGAUACUCUUGGAUAGCCUUCCGAAAGGGAGAUUAAUACAAGAUGGUGUUUCACUUUCGCAUGUUAUUGAAACUAAAGAUUUAUCGGUAUCGGAUGGGGAUGCGUGACAUUAGAUAGUAGGCGGGGUAACGGCCCACCUAGUCUACGAUGUCUAGGGGUUCUGAGAGGAAGGUCCCCCACACUGGAACUGAGACACGGUCCAG
rnacentral:rRNA from 1 species